AAAAAAACAAACCAUAGUUUCUAUGUCCAACGUUUGACUGUUCGUCUUAUUUAAAAAAAUUAUAAAAAAAUUAAAAAGAUAAGUCACGCAUAAAGUAUUAAUUAUGUUUUAUCAUCUAACAAAAUACUAAUUAUAAAAAAUUUGAUAUAAGACGGACAGUCAAACGUUGGCACGGAAAUCUAUGGUUUGUCUUUUU
rfam:Oryza nivara chromosome 6, whole genome shotgun sequence.